CCUACGGGCGGCUGCAGUGAGGAAUAUUGCACAAUGGGGGAAACCCUGAUGCAGCAACGCCGCGUGGAGGAUUGACGGUCCUUGGAUUGUAAACUCCUUUUCUGUGGGACGAGCGAGGACGGUACCACAGGAAUCAGUCACGGCUAACUACGUGCCAGCAGCCGCGGUAAUACGUAGGUGGCGAGCGUUAUCCGGAAUUACUGGGCGUAAAGCGCACGCAGGCGGCUCGUUAAGUUUGACGUAAAAUCUCCUGGCUUAACUGGGAGGGGUCGUUGGAGACUGGCGAGCUUGAGGCGAUGAGAGGGGCAUGGAAUUCCCGGUGUAGUGGUGGAAUGCGUAGAGAUCGGGAGGAACACCAGAGGCGAAAGCGGUGCCCUGGCAUUGGCCUGACGCUCAUGUGCGAAAGCGUGGGGAGCGAACGGGCUUAGAUACCCCGGUAGUC
rnacentral:rRNA from 1 species